ACGUAGGGACCAAGCGUUGUUCGGAUUUACUGGGCGUAAAGGGCGCGUAGGCGGCCUCCGCAAGUCGACUGUGAAAUCUCCGGGCUUAACCCGGAACGGUCAGCCGAUACUGCGGGGCUAGAGUGCAGAAGGGGCAACUGGAAUUCUCGGUGUAGCGGUGAAAUGCGUAGAUAUCGAGAGGAACACCAGUGGCGAAGGCGAGUCCCUGGACAACACCUGACACUGAGGCACGAAAGCUAGGGGAGCAAACAGGA
rnacentral:rRNA from 1 species